rnacentral:rRNA from 1 species
UGAGGAAUAUUGGUCAAUGGGCGCGAGCCUGAACCAGCCAAGUCGCGUGAGGGAAGACGGUCCUAUGGAUUGUAAACCUCUUUUGUCGGGGAGCAAAAGGCGCCACGUGUGGCGUUCCGAGAGUACCCGAAGAAAAAGCAUCGGCUAACUCCGUGCC